rnacentral:pre_miRNA from 1 species
CCACUGCAUCGCCCUCGCGAAGGCGGGGGCCUAUGCCACUUCACCGAAUUCGGUAAGGUGGCAUGGCCCCCCGCCUUCGCGAGGGCGAUGUUGGUC